AUACCAUCACCCCUCCGGCGCUUUCGAGCGCUCGGUGGGCGUGGAUUUGGGGAUCUGCUGGCCUUCGCGGGUCGGCUUCCCUUGAAUGCAUUAGCGGUCGCUUGGUUCUGACCACGGUGUGAUAACUAUUUCACCUUGGGAGGGGCCGCUCGGGCGUCGCUCACAGCCGUCUUCGGACAACCCAUUUGUUA
rnacentral:misc_RNA from 1 species